UCCGGCUUGUCACCGGCAGUCUUCCUAAAGUGCCCUCGCGUAGCAACUAGGAACAAGGGUUGCGCUCGUUGCGGGACUUAACCCAACAUCUCACGACACGAGCUGACGACAGCCAUGCAGCACCUGUGUGACGGCUCUCUUUCAAGCACUCCCAGCUCUCACCAGGAUUCCGUCCAUGUCAAGGGUAGGUAAGGUUUUUCGCGUUGCAUCGAAUUAAUCCACAUCAUCCACCGCUUGUGCGGGUCCCCGUCAAUUCCUUUGAGUUUUAAUCUUGCGACCGUACUCCCCAGGCGGUCAACUUCACGCGUUAGCUUCGUUACUCAGAAUUUCCAUCCCGAACAACCAGUUGACAUCGUUUACAGCGUGGACUAC
rnacentral:misc_RNA from 1 species